GAUUCAAGACCUUUACCAGAUGUAGCCCUGACUGGGAAGUGCACUCGGGAAUGUGAUGAAUACGGCCAUUCAGACUCGUGCUGGAUGCCUGUCCGCACUUCACCCGAAAGGAAGCAGAAGAGCCAGCCAAAACUCUCCACUUUCAUGCCUGUUGAUGAACGGGGCAGUCAAGAGAAGCUGGCCAAUGGAGAAGCCUCCCUGAUGGGUGACCGCAACAGAAACCUCCUUAAUAAAAAGUUGACCUCAUCCUAUGAGACCUUCAGUGCAGCUAGUUUCAGCAAAAGUGAGGAAGCCAACCCAGAGGAUAUUCCCCUCACACAGACAGGGGAAUACAAGCCAUCUCCUGUCAACACUUUAACUAGAAGAGAAGUUUACCUUUAGGCGACAAAGAAGCAACAAUACGGUUCUCUCAUGUAUUGGAAGGGGAUAAAAGGCAAAAAAACAAAACCUAUGAAUCAAAAUGAUUUUAACUCAAAAAUAAAGGAAAGUCCAUUGAAAAUGAGGGGGCUACCAAAGAGACAAGAGCUUGGCCUGCCACUUCUGCCUCCAUGCCAGGCAUUUGCGUAUCCUGUCUGCCUGACUAUACUGUACAAUGUAGAAACCAUUGUUGUUCCUGCAUGCCUAAUUCCCUGCUCACCAAUCUUUAUUUUCCUAAAUUUAUGGUUGUAAAUUCCUUUCAAGGUAACAAGUCUGAAAUUGAAAAGAACUACAGGAACUGUUGUCCCUCAUCCCUUCCCCGCCCCCACUGCUGAAGCAUUGCUUAAGCCACUCUGGUUAUCAUUUGGUGGUUAUCUGGCUUGUUUGCAAGUCGAGGGGUGUGUGAGAGAAUUAUUACAUACGUAUAAUUUUCCCAGGAUACCAUCUGAAUAUUGCUGGUUUCCAUCAGAGAGAUAUGCCUCCAGAAACCAUUCAAAAUUAAACAUAUAAAGGGAUGGUUUUUCUUUUUCUUUGAAAGAAGCACUUUUUGAAGAUCUCGGCUUUAAUCCUGUUGUGUGGCUGGAGAGAGCAGAAAACAUAUUCAGUCUGAGAUUAUAAUCCCAAAUAUGACAUGUUUCCCUAUAAUCAUGAACUGUUCAGUUUUAUCCAUAACUACUAUCUCUGCCUGUGCUUUCAUACUCUCUGACAUUAUCCUCCUCCUCUUUUUCCUCCUCUCUUUCUGUGGCAUUUUAAACUUCAGCAUAAACAAAAUGAUGGUGGUAUAUCAUGGCGUCCUAAGGAUAAACUACUAUACUGGUGUCAUUUUUACAAGACCGGCAUUUAGCUUGGAUGACCACAGUAACUAAAAGGCCAAAGAAAAAACUGUGGAUCCGGAGAAUUGCUCAUCGGUCUUGGGCUUAGGAAAUCUGACACAGACGCACACAAACACGUAAGCGUAUUUUCCACACACAUUUUGCACAGCAAUCUAUGCCGCAACCCAGAUGACGUAGCCGUUUCAAAAUGGAUUUUAGCUGAAUCCCCAGAGGAACUGGUCAUACGAGCUAGCUGGUGACAGCAUGGCACAUCAUAAGCUACAUAUAGUAAAAAGAUGCUCCCGUUCCAGGGUUCGUUCCUUAGAAGGUUUCAUAUCUAUUCAGGAUGAGCUCCAAAAACACAUUGAGAGGGAAAUCUGAAAAAAAAGAGCAAAAACAAAGGCAGUGGGAAGGAAGAACAUACUUCAAGUCAAGUAUGGCAUCAUCUUUGUUGAGAGUGGAUGCUAAACCUUCGAUUAUCAGUGUUCCAGGUUAAUCAUUUGCUCUUGGCAAAGGUAUUAUGCAGGUUUUCUUAAUACACAAGUGCAUUUAAGCUGAAUCCUGUGCAAUAUAAAACCAAUGUUGAGUCUCAAGGCGACUGGUAGUCUUGAGUGAUGUCACCACCGACAUGCUCUGUGCAAAAACAAGUUUUGCUUGUGACAAGCUUCAAAAAAUAAAUAAAUCCAAACCUGAUCAUGAUGGUGCAGAGCUCUGGGCUGUGACAGUUCUCAUAGUUUGCACUAUAUAUAAAAAGUGGAUAGGAAAAUGGACCAGAUAUAUUUUGUGCAAUAAGGAGUUACAGAGUGUGUAGAAUCUGAACUAGUUCUGUAUUGAUAAUGUUGUAGUAAUAAAGAAUGGCUGAGCUUGGACAUUCGAAUCAAACUGACAAUCGGUCAAUGCAGUGGGGACAGCUUGAGAAGGGGUGCAAAGACAGAAACCAGCCCCUCUGGUUGUUUAACUUGGCAUUAAAGCAUGACUAGAUGGUUCUAGUAGAUUGUAGUGACAAGAUAGCUUGGGUAGUUUAUUGCUUUAAAAAAAAUGACAUAGAGUAUAAUAUUAAACAGUCUGAAAUGUGAGCUGAACAACUGGUACAAACUCAUCACAACUUUUGUCUUUUCAACUUUCUAUAGCAAAGUGCCCUUUUUAUUGUACAUCUUCCUUACUUUUUUGUAUCUUAUUUUGAAAUUAGUUUUUUUGUGUAGCAGUUACAAAUGGGCACAUAUUAUAAAGGGGAAAAAUUAAAAAGAGGUUAGGAGUGAUUGAUCAUUCCAAUGCAUAGUUGCUUUCUAAAGAGAAAAUUCAGAGAUGCAAAUUUGACUUCGUUAGAAGACUGAUUAAAUCGGUUACUGCAUUGUAUAACCUUUCAGUAUCUGCCAAGGAUAAAAGGCUUCUCAUUUACAUUAAAACUUACACAUUUCUUGCAGGUUUCAACAGAAAAUGCAAUCAUACCACCUCACUGGUCAAGAGAACUAUUUUUAAAAAUAAAACCCUUAUAUAUUGAAUAUCCGCUUGAGAACCAUUAGAUAAGGCAGAUCUAAACAAACUAUCUUUCUUUUUAACUUUUCUGGAAAGCCAAUACAGAUCAGAGAAGGCCUUCAGGAUUAACUGGAUCAGAAAUCACUCCCCAUUUUGUGCGCUAAAUACAAGUGAAUCUUGUGAUUGAGGAAAUUACCUUUUUAUUCAUAGAGCUAAGAAGGGCACAAAGGGAUAACAAAAAAUACAGUGUACUUGUAUGUAUUUGCAGUAAUUCUAGUAAAACCUAGCCAUCAAACCAUAGUCAAUUGCUUCUUAUGACCCAGCAUGAGACACAAAUAUAUUUUUGUGGUUUUUUCCCCAUUUGAAAUUAGUUAAAUCUGGUGACACUCCAUAUAUAGAGUGCUUUUGUAAAAAAUAAUAAUAAUAAUAAAAUGAAAGUGAAAAUUUUUAGAGUGAAUGCAAAAUAUGCAACUGUGCCUUUUAUACCUGUUGUUAUGGUAAACAUGGUGGUUGGGGUUGGACACUAAAAAUCUAUGGGCUAUUCCCACAUUUUUUGAACCUGUAUAUUUAACCAUGUUUAUUUUCUGAGAAAUAAAAGAUGAUAUAUUUAAAAAAUGCCUUCUACCAAACUCAGAUAAUGGACCAGUCUUAAAUAUAAUUCAUUAUUAAAAACAAGAAUGUGCUUUUGGAAUAGGACAUUUGUUAACUGAGAGGGGGAAAAGUACUAUAUUUGUCUCAGUAGCAAGAUGUUAUGAGUCUGUUUGGUAGAAAACUGUUGAUUUAUUGCUUUUUGGGAAAAAAAAUCCUUUUAGCAGUUUUUUGGUUUUUUUGGUUUUCAUUUCAUGAUACGACUCCUAUUGUUUGCUUUUUAAUUUCACAAGAAGCUCAAAGAAACUGUGCAUGUCUUUUACAUUGGACACAUUUAGAGAUUGACGCAUCACUUAUAUAACUUUAUACGAAUUAGAAAAUGUCGUAUUAACUUCAGUCUAAACUCUAAUGCUCAUUCCAACCUCCAGUUAUGCUAAUAUUUAGUCAAUCUAAUUUCUGACUGGCCUGCUGCCUGAGUUUCAGAAAACAAGGUAGAUGCUAUUUUUCUGUAGGGGAAGAACUCAAAGGAGAGAUUGAAGGUGCUUGGCUGAAAGACUACCCUGGGGAGUUGUCACAUAGAAAAAAACCAAACACAAAGAUGUAGGAAAAUGAAGAGAGGGGGCAAAACGAAGCUACCAUAAAUGCAGCCAUCACUAAAAGACUUUUACAGCAUUGGAAGAGUUGAAGAAUAUAACAGUUUUGCUUAUAUUCCAUCACUGAUAAAAGAUCCACUGUUUCCUUAAUCGCUGAAAGAAAGGAGAUGGACAAUGGUAGAGACGAACCUCAUCCCAACAUUAAUGUUGAGCAGUUGCCUGAAGAGCAUAGUAUAAGGAAGAAGGAAUCAUUUUUCAGCUACCUGGGGUACACUUUCAGACAUUUCUUGUCCUGAAUUUCGAAGCACUUACAUUCAGUGUGGUUACGAUCUGUUUGUAAUAUUAAUCAUUGACUAUUGUUCUGCAACUUGGAUGUUGAUAGUGAAGCAGAGAACAACUUAUCAUUGUUUAUUAUGAGUCACUAUGCACGCAACUAUGCUAAAAAAAAAAAAAAGAAACAUGGCAAAAAUGUAUUCAACGCUAGUCCACCUCUA